GUCCUUGUCGAUUAGUGGUCAGAUCAUCACAUUGUGGCACAAAUCCGCAAACCGUGGAGGCGCAGGUUCGACUCCUGCCUGGGACA